rnacentral:rRNA from 1 species
GAGGACAAGUGAUUGGAGCAUAUCAUACGGCUUGGGGUCCCAGGGCCGGGAUAUUUAUCCUGGCUUGCACCAUCCCAGGCUGUUUGUCAGCAUCGAUUUUGUGUGGGGGAGAAAGCGUGUGACGUUGAUGGCUUCGGCUUGAUCGUUGUGCGUGCAACCUUGCGUGGGAUCGAGGCAACCAAAGUCUGCGCGCUAUUUGCGGCCGGCCCUCUGCGCGCGUUUUGGCGGAGGUCACACCCUUUUCUGGUGUGUGGCUUUCGUGGAGGCGUGAGGUAUAUUUAUGAGGAGCGCUGGACCUGCGGACUGAAGAUGCUGGCACAAAUGGCUUCCAUCAGCCCGUA